rnacentral:misc_RNA from 1 species
CUUGGCUAGUCACAUUCACGGCAACCGUUCCCUUGAAGGGCAAGGGCUUGAUUGGCAAACCCGGUUGAGAAUUAUCAAAGGAGUGGCCAAAGGAUUGGCAUAUCUAUACAGUGAGCUUCCCAUAUUAGUUCCCCAUGGUCACCUGAAAUCAUCGAAUGUGCUUCUAGAUCCGUCCAUGGAACCUCUGUUGACAGAUUAUACUCUAAGGCCAGUGAUCAACCCCCAACAGGCCCACAAUCUCAUGAUUGCUUACAAAUCACCCGAGUACGCACAAAAUGGCCGCACAUCUAAAAAGACGGACAUUUGGAGCUUCGGAAUACUGAUAUUGGAGAUAUUGACCGGAAAGUUUCCGGAGAACUAUCUAACGCAGGGAUACGAUAGUAGCGCAGAUAUAGCAAGUUGGGUUAAUGAAAUGGUUAAGGAAAAGCGAACAAGCGAAGUGUUCGACAAAGAUAUGAAGGGAGCAAAAGAUAGCAAAGGCGAGAUGAUUAAUCUUUUGAAAAUUGGAUUGAGUUGUUGCGAAGAAGAUGUGGAGAGCAGAUUGGACAUCAAGGAAGUGGUCGAGAAGAUUGAGCAAUUGAGAGAAGGAGACAGCGAUGAAGAUUACACUGGCAAUGAAGGUAUUAAUUUUAGUGUUAGAGGGAACGAGGAUCGUUUUUCCUACACCUUGGAUCGAUGACUGGCC